CUACUACUAGGCCUGGCUCACAGGAAAGCAGGGCUGUGAACGUGCUAAGUAGUUAAGAAGGAAGAGUGAUGUUUUUAGACUGAUGUCUCUUCCCUGUGUGUGUGUGUGUGUGUGUGUGUGUGUGUGUGUGUGUGUGUGUCCUCACGUGCGUUGUGGUGGCUAAUUUCUCCAUUGCCAAAUGAGGAGAGUUACAAACUUCACACACGUCAGAGUUAUACUUGAACUACAUCUUUAAUAAUAAGAGCUUUGCAUUAGCAAUGACUUUCAACGAUUCACCAUUUCUAAUGAACCGUUGAUAGUGACAACGUAAAAGUACUUUUAAAGCCAAGAUACACCCCUCUCAACCUACAUGAUGAACCACAGACCUUCGGGAACAGUCCACAAAGGAAGACUUUAUAAUGAGAAAGGAGUAUCCCUUAGCCAGAUAGCAUUCGCUAUAAAUUAUCAUUCAGUUUGGUCCCUAAGACGAGGUUCUAAUCUUGUUCCUGGUACUUCAUAGCACAAAAACAUUACCUUAUGUUAUCUGGAAUGCUCUUUAGGUUUUAUCACCCAAAGACAUCGUAAAUCUCCUCUGUCAGUGUUAUCUCAUAGAGGCCCAUCCUCAGUAGAACACACACACAAUAGUUAACAGAAUACUUUAUUCUGUCCAAUAAAACAACCAUUAUAAUGCAAUACAAGCACUAUAACAUAAUCUUGCAAUUUUCCACGACAGCGUGUGUUUGUUCGUGCUUGUGUGUUUGUUUCUGUCUGCCUGUGUGGGUGUGUGCUUGCGUGUGUGUCUGCUUCUGCAUGUGUGUGUGUGCGCAUGUGCGUGCCCGUGUGUGUCUAUCAGUCCAUGCAGCGAGGCCCAAGGUGAAGGACCUGAAAGACAAGGCAGACAGACGGCUGGAGAAACUGAAGCCCGUCCAGGAGCUACCGGACAACCUAUUAAAGUGUCUGUGUCCUCCGGGGGAGACUGUGUCCGUGCAUAUGGACCAGAAAUCAAGAAGGGUCGCUACAACACCAUCAGUGUGA
rnacentral:lncRNA from 1 species